UCCACUUCUAGUGCUCCACGGUAGUUCCUUGGUGGCCCAUUACUACUCGUACGACUUACCUUUUUCUGAGUCACCUUGGAGACUUUGGUUAAGGGAUUAUUUGAUCCCUUAUCGUGACCCUUGGCAGCCCUAAUUUAGACUUAGGCUUUUCUUAUUUUUUUAGGAUAGCCUUUAGAUACACUUGGCCCAUUAGGCACCAUCCUAGGCCCGCUUAGUCUCAUCAUAGGCCCGUUUAGGCACACUUGACCCAUUUGGACAUUUUUAGCGUGACUUAUUUGACUUGCGUGUUUGCAUGGUUUGUAGGGCCCAUUUUUUUUUGUUAAUUUGUUUAAUUUUAUUUUAUUUUAUUUCGUUUUCCUCUUUAUAUUAUUUUCCUCAACUUAUUUAUUUAUUUAUUAUUUUUACCAUUUUCUAAUUUAUUUACUUAUUUAUCUAUUCAUGCAAUUAUUUAACUUCUAAAAUUUCAUGUUUUUGCAAGGAAACUUACCAUUGGAGUUUAAGGAAAGUGGGACUCUCCUUGGAAGGUUUUGGAGGAGAAUUUGAAGUUGGGAAGAUUGCUUUUGAAUUGGAAGAUUUAAAAAAGGAUAAGGAGAAAAGAAGAGAGAAAAUAGGAGAUUUGGCCUUUUUUUUAGGGAGAUUUAGUUUUAGGGAAAGGCGUAUAUAUACGUGAGAGAGGAAGGAGAAAAGGGAGCUUUUUUUUUUAUUAAGGAGAGGAGAUUCUUUCUGGAGCAGACGCAUUGGAGGCAUUGGAGAAGGAGGGAGGAAAAGCACGCAGCAACGAGCAAGGAGCAAUUGCAACCAAAGCUGUCCAGGUAUGCAUCUCGUUGCUUUUGGAAUUCUUACCUAUAUUUGAUUUUUUCGUGUGUCUGAUUCCUGAAUAUUUGAUUGUUUUGUUGAUUUUUGUGUGGACGAAAAGGGCCACAAUUUGCUUUGUUGAGAUUGGUUACUUGCCUGUUUGCCUUGUUUUGAUUUUGGAUGUCAUUAAUGUCUUCGGAAGCAUAUAACUCCAUGCCUGUUCCCACUAACCUGAGCCUAUUGAAAAAUCAUGAGAUGUGGUUUUAUUUUCUUUUAAUCUCCCAUGUCUGUUUUCCCAUCGUUUCCUCUACUCUCUACCAUAUCUGUUUUGCCUUUCUUCCUACCCGUCACGUAGUCAUCAAUUCUUCAUAUGGGGGUGACUCCAAAGCUUGGGUAUGCAAUCACAAGAAUUCAACAAAGGGAUCAGCUCUUUCAAAAUUCUGGCUAGACAUGCCAUAUUGUGAGUUCAUAUAAAAGAAAGCCCGUGAUAGUUGCCGUUCUUUUCCUGUUAAUGUUCUGUUCUAGCCCUUGUUGUAAAAACUGCCGUCACAAUUCGGGACCCAGAAGAGAUUCUUCCACGUAGUCAUGUCCAAGUGGCUUGAUGGUCGUUUAUGCACUUGUUAAGGUUAGUGGCAGCCAUGUAAAUUUGUGGAUUCAUAUGGAGAUCAGAGAUAUGGCUUCUCGGAAUUCCACCAGUUCAGGGUAUAUACAUUGAGGGCAAAUUGAGGAGCACGAGAGUUAUUUGAAGAAAUACCAAUGAGAAGAAAUUUGGUUUUCUAGAUUGCAAUGAUAAAUGUGGGUGAGAGGGAUAGAGAAAAGAAAAUACUUCUGCGGUUUUAGAGAAAAAGAGAGAAAUACAGAGAGAUCGUUGAGUGCAGUGACGGCUGACCCGCAUAAACCUUCGUGAUCACUAGAAGAAGAAGAGUAGCAAUUUCGUAAUAAAGCUCCAGUUCUUCUUUCUUUUCAGGUCCCUGCAUCGGUUUAACAAGUCAGUGAAAGUUCAUUCUCCUGUUCUGGACUCCCUUGUUGAGGACUGGGAUUCUCUGUAUAGAAUAUAGUUUGCCACAAGCAAAGUUCUGCUUUGACCUUAGACCGGUUGCACUUGUGCUGAAAUGCGUGUUGGUAUGACGCACAUGGCUUCUUAUUUCAGGUAUUUUGUCCAAGUGAAGUUGGACUACACGGAGAGGAAUCUCGGAAGGGAAAAGGGAGUAACAGAAAAACUAUGAACAAGUUCGAUACAACAUUAUGGAAGCGUUGGCAGGGGAAACCUGGAAUGUCAUAUAUCUUGUCAUUAAUGUCUGUUGUAUUGAGUCAUCCUGAUGGAAUCUAUGGACCAAAUGACACCAGGAGGAUUGUUAUUAGUAAGAUUAUUGAUAAGUUUUGCUCGUUUGAUUGUUGAAGAAAAGUUGGAAGAUAUUUAUAGAGAACUGAACAGUAAAGAAGGGAAGCGCCAGAAGGCUGUUCUCCUGCUGAUGGCUUCAAUAGUUAGACGUAGCUCAAGUCUGACUUCUGAGGUUGCAAAGAGUUUUAAUUUCGAAUUCCCAAUCUUUCCAAAGUCUGCGGGGUAUAAAUUGAAGCAAGCUGAAAAGAAAAGGAAGCAUUCGACAAGAAAAUCAUUUAUUGGGUUUGCAAUGUCAUUUUUGGAAGUGGGUAAACCAGGAUUAUUGAGGCGGAUCCUACAGCAGAAAGAAAUGCAUUCAGGCGUUCUUCAUGGGCCCGGAAAUGAUGAUGACGAAAUAGUUGUUUAUGUUCUGUUUACAUUGAAGGACAGAGUUCUUAUUCCAGAAUCAUUGGCGCCUCCAGGUCUUUAGAGUAUGCUAUUUGGGAGUGUCACUCCAGAACAGUUGGUCAGUACUUCUGGAAAGGAAGAAGGUAGCCCUGCUCCAGAGUCGGCACACAGGGUUCUGGUUAUACUUUGUACCAAUCUUUGUAACGGACUGAUGCCAGAUUUGAAGAGACACCCAUGUCCAUUCAGGAGUGAUCCAAAGCGAUUUUUGAGUCUCAUGAAGGAGCUUAAAGUAACAGAGGUUGCCUAUCACAGAGAUAUACUUUUAUCUUUUGUUAAAGGGAGACCUCCUUUUGUUCAGCAUACAUAGAUGAGUUUCCUUGCAACCUUGAAGACCGUACGUCACCUACCUGGUUUACUGCUGUUCCUCUGGUUGCAGAUUUGGUUUCCUUAGUUGGUAUUGGCCUGCCCUUCAAUUUCAUCAAUUCCGAGUCUCAAGAUCUGCCAUCCUUUGAUAGCUCAGAUGUGCAGAGUAUUAUGGAAUGUAUUUGUUGUUAUCCAUCUAGCCGAUUGGUUGUCAAUAAGGGGUUUACUUCACCCUAAUGUUUUUGUGAAGCAUGGAACUUUAAGGCUUCUCUUGGAGGAACUGAAGUUUUUGGACUCCUUCAUAAGCGCUAUUAAUCAUACUUCUUGUUCCAGCAAUCAAAUGAUGCAUAGACUGGCACCUUUGAAGCAAGAAAUUGAGAAUGGGGUUCGAAUGUUGCUCCCUGAUCCUCAAGUUCUAUUGACACUACCUUCUUCACUAAGUAGUCAAUCCACAAUUCAAGAGUUGGGUUUGAAAAGGAAAAGAAGUUUCGAAAAUUUUACUGUGCAUAGAAGAAAUGAUAGAAAGAAGUUGAAAACGGAUGUUUUGAAUGAAGACACAGAUACGAUUGUCAGUGGGAUAAGUUCUGGUCUAGAUAUUGCUUUUCAUGGAGGCGACAAGGCUCUUGAUACAUUUACUGCAGAUGACAUGGACAGUGGGAAGGAUAAUGUAAAGAUUAUUGCAAAAACCUGGGGUUUGCAACCAUCCUCCAUGGCUGGUAUUGCAUUAAGGGAUGUGGAGACAUGCUUCCUUUCUAAGUUGCUUGAUGCUCUCAAAAUCUAUGUUCGAAUUAUGCCUACUGUAUUGGAGGGAUCAUUGGAUUUCUUCAUAAAUCUCCUUGGUAACAGUUCAGCAUUAUCAACUGAUGUGCAGCAGUUCUCAAAGAGCAUGAAAAACAAAUCCAACAUGCUGUCCACAAGGCUCGUCUUGACAAAAGUGAAGACUAAGAUAACAUGCAAUGAUGACGGGCAAACUGAAUCGUUACUUCCCCAUGGGAGAAACAGCAGGUAACCCUUGAGUGGUGAUUAUCGAGCUUCUUGAUACGUUGGUUAGUUGCUUGGUUGCUGGAAAGGGUGAGCUGAAGGGAGUCAAUUGCUGGAAAAUAUGUUUUGUACAGCUGAAAAACUGGUUUCCUCAUUCAAUUCUGAAGGACAAGGAGCAAGUGAAUUGCUUGAAGGGUUCAAACAAGAUGCCCAUUGUUUAGAGAAGUCAUCAGAAUCGAUUUUCUCAAGAUCUCUAGAAGCUGUUAAAGAAAACAAAAACCUGUACCAUAUUCUGAGUCGAAGGUAACAACAAGCAACAUUAAGGUUGGAUCAGUGGAAACUGCACAGGAGGUGAAUGUUUCUGUCAGUUAUUGCAUAGAAAUUGUUAGGACAGUAUUUUUGAGAUUCUUAUGGGGAGCAACAAAACUAAAGACUGCUGAGGAACAGUGAGUUCAGUGGAGACAUCAAAUCGAUCUCAUACUAUCGAAUAUCAGCUUCCUGGUAAGGAUAACAUAUUGGUCUGUCAACGCGUAGAAGGAAUCUGGAAUUUGGCAUCAGAAAUGAAGCAGCACGCUUGGAUAAACCCGACACCGGCAGUGGCUACAUGCAGAAAUUCAGGCUUUAUGAGACUUGCUCGAACUUCUGUAUAAUAGAAAGAGACAUGGUUUGAUCGGGGACCAAGAGAUACCUGGUUUUCGAAAUGGCUUGGUUCAGAUUCUGCAGCUGUCAGUAGAGACAUUCUGACCAGAAUUAUGUAUUCCAAACAUUUGGGCACGCGGAUAUGGCCUUCGGAAAAUGAGAAGCACAGUUUUAAAUGGAAUGAGACUGUUUUGGGAAAAGGAAAACCUUUGAGCAAUCAGACCUGAAACGUUCAGUGAGGGUUGGGAAGACAAGUUUUAAAGAAAUGGCAGCUUACCUUCUUGACUAUGAUCCUUUUGUCAAUAAGCCAUCCAUUGGUCCUGUAAAGGUUGCACACUUAAUUUUCAAUGUCGAUGAUAGGGUGAAUGGAAAUAUGAAUCAAAAUGGGAAGCUGUCAUAAUUGAUGAAUGUCAACGCCCCAGAAUUUCAUCACAUUUUGCAGAAUAUAGGAUACUUGUGGCUGAUUUAAGGCUUCUUCUUCAUGAUGGUUAGAUAAAGGAAAGCACGUUGGAGUUUAUGAAUCUCCUACCAUUUCUUGACCCUGGCAAUAACGUGAACAGCGACAAUGUUUCGAAAAUUGACUACAAAGAUCGUGUUAGUAAAUUAGAGGAGAGGCAUUAUCAUCCGAAGAAACUGUCAAUGAGCGCAUGGAUAAAAUCAGUGCAAAGGUUAGAUUCAAACCAGAAUCAAUAGAGCUUCUUUCAGUUGAAGAAGACGGUGGAUUAAAUGAUGAAUAUUCAUACUCAGCAGUUGGAUUUGAUGGCUCAUUGAAUAUGCCAGAAAGUUUAUGUGCUGGACAGCGGCCUCCUUCAUGCUCAUAUCAGGCUCCCAUUUCAGCAAUUCAAUGUCCAGAGCCAACUCCACUUUGAUGCCCAAUUUUUCAAACUCGCACAAUGCAUAACAGGCUAUGCCAGAAUUAGGAAGAGUGUCUUUGAUGCUUUAGACAAUAAUCCAUCAGAAUGGGCAAAGAAGAUAUUGAAGCACUCUUGGGUUUUCUUGAUGAACGUGAAACUCAGAAUUGCAAAGUGCUGGUUCAGAAUCUGAAUCUAGUUGAUCAUGGAGGUUCUAAGUACAAGAAUAGUCAGUACAACGGUUUGUUUCCUUAAGACAAACAAGGGUACUAAUUUCAACCUUCGGAAGCAUUUGGAAAGAACGAGAAUUAUCAAGAAAUGGCAUAGGAGGAGGACGUGACUAAGUUCUCUGGGACACUUAGAGAUGUAAUUCAGAAUUUCAAUCUUGCUGCAAUUUAUGAUGCCAAAGUCUCCAACCGUUCCGCCAGCUUACAGAAAACUCCAAUACCUGAUCUGAACGUUGAUGAAACACAUAUUGCUUUUGUGAAGCUCUCAAGAGAAAAUUCAGUAUGAAAUACUUCAAAUGUCAAGCUCGAAGACGGUCAAGUGCGUUGACGCAGUGGAAAAUGCAGAUAUGAUGGGCAACAGAAUAUGUAAUACUCGGGAUAAACAGAGCAAUACAGUUGUAGAUAAAAUGUUUCAGGAGAUUUGUGAAAGUUGAGAAAAGACAUCUGAGUUCAUAGAAGAAGUCAAGUGUUUGGAGUGCUUUGCUCAAAAGCUGGUAUCUGAAAAUUUGUCUCUUCAAACUGGGUUGUUGAGGAAGAAUAAUGUUUUGAAAGGAUUGUUCUUUGAUCCGAGCCUACUACAGGAGUCUGCAUCUAAUAGUAAAGAUGGGAGAGAUGAAAUUGAAGAAUUGGCAGCCUCUUUGGAAUCCUUAGAACAAGAACUUGCAGUAAGAUCGGUGGUACAAAAGCCUAUGUAUCUCAGUCCCCAUGUAUACUAACAGGAAAUGUCAAAGAGAGCAUCCUCUUUGGGAACCGACAUGACAGUUUUAAGUAUGAUGAUAACUAAGGAUUUUGAGUUUUUCCCCUGCGGUGACCUCACGGAAAUAGGUAAAAGAGGAAUAAAUAUGAAUGGAGGCCAGAAGCAAAGGUUUCAAAUAGCCCGAACAGUUUGCGAGGACACUGACAUAUAUUUUGCUUGGUGACCCAUUCAGUAACUGCUUCAAUUUGAGCCCAUGGAUCCAACAGAGACACGGAUGGGGAAAGCUAAUUACACCAGGGUUCUUACUUCUCAAGAGCUACCCAAGUUUGUUGGAACUCUUCAAUCCUUACCAGAUAUCACCAAAGCUUUGAACAGCAGGGAGUCCCGGAAAGUGCCGAAAGAAAGAAGAAUGUAUACAAGGAUUCAACACCAGCAGAGGAGUCAGUCACGUCUCCAGGCUUCACCUAUACAGAUGCCACCUUGGUGCCCACCAUCCCCACCGGAUUCUCUGAUGGCCUUGUGCCUACAUUCUGGAGGAUUUUUAGAAGCACUCUUAUCCAAGGUGAUUCAAUCGUGUCGACUCAGAGUCAGGCUCAAGAAGUUGUGAAUGAAAAAGUUUAGGAUUCGGUCCAGAUUUCUUCUUUUUUCGAAGGGUGGUUUGUCAUUGUAGUUGAAAUGAAAAACAUCAAGAGCGCAAAAAGAGGGUUCAAAAUCAUUCAAAUCGGGGUUUAAGCGGACUGAAUUGACAUUUGGCUUGAAUAUUAAAGAAAGAUAAAUGAAUCUCCAGAUUUGUGGCUGAGAUGGCUAAAAGACUUAAAGCAAUGGGAGGCAAAGUAAUAGAGUUUCGAACUAACGCAUGCCUCAGGUUCCAUGAAAAGGGGUGUAGGUCCCCUCAGCUAGACCUAGAAGCAUUAUUCCAGGUUCGGCAGAGUCUCAAACAAGGAACCAGACGGGCAACUUAUAUGAUCAGAAAGCAUAGACAUUAAAGGAAUUCAGAGAAAACGAGUUAUAGAACAGGAAAUUUAAUCUGAAAUUGAGCAUUAUGUCUUCACCAGAAGCUUCUGUUGAUAAUUCAGAUUGUGAUCUUGAGAAACUAGAAUUGAAUUGAAGCCCUUUUUUUUUUAAAUGAGGUGGCACCCUAAAAUCCGGUGAACAUGGGCUCAGAAACGAACACAUUCAGUUUCUUUCUAGACAACCAGUGGUCUACAGAAUCCUCCCUAUGCAAUCUGUUUCAACCAUUUAGUCUGAAGUGCACCUUCGGACCUCACUCAUAUAGUGGUCACCUUGCCACACACCAUACUCCUCCUAAUGUUUCUCCUUAUUCUUUUUGUUAUCUUACACAUUUUAAAUCUGGAUUUCAAAAUCUUUUCCCGUAAAAAAUAACUCUAGUUUUAUUUAAAAUUCCCGAGAAGUCUCUAGGCAUAAAAUCCAAAUUUUAACAUACUAUUUGCUACCAUUUUCCCUUCUGGCAUGCAUUUUCAUCAUCUUGAACUAUUUUAUGAUUUUCUCGAUUUUUGACAAGCAUGAAUAAACUUCAUGAUUCCAAAUAAUGGAAUUCAUAGAAUCAAUUCAUGCAAAAUUAAUUAGGGCUUUGGUGGGGGCCCGACAUCCAUGAUAUUCUCUUCUAUAUUGUUUGUUUGAUAUCUGAUUGAUUGUGCUUCCUCUUUGAGGUGCAUGAGAUUAUUUUGAAUUUGUUAUUGGGCUAACCUUGUUUCCCAUAGAGGAGUAUUAGCUUGCUAUCUAGGUACGCUCUCUAUCUCCCCACUUUUCGAAAUUCCAUGAAUAUCCAUAUCUUUGUGUACCAUGCCCUUGCUUGAUGACAUGCUUGAUUGACUUGAUGCAUAUUUGAUGCUUGUUUUAUUAUCUUGGAUAAAACAUAUGUUGUGCGAUAUAUUUCUACACUAACUUUUAUGUCUUGUGAUAGCGCUUGAAAAGUCGUUCAGGUACGCACUUCGAUUCCCUCUCAUGGUUUGUUUUCUUAUUAGGCAUGCAAUAUUUGAAAUCACCUAGUCUACUUAGGUAUCCAUGAUCAACCAUUUAAUUGUCACGCUUCCCUUAACUUAGUCAGUAGAGACCUUUUUAGGGCUUAGAGGGGUGCUACCUCCUAGAGGUACCUUCCCAAUAAGUAACCUGAUCCCCGGACUUAGACUCGGGUUUCUCAAAGACAUGCUUUUUCCAAAACUAUGGAGUCACUUUUUAGGGUUUUUCUUUCUUGUUUUAUUUUCCCUUCAAAAUAAAAAUAAAAUAGGUGGCGACUCCAACUUUUUUUCAAAAAUUAAUUUUUCACAAUAAAAAGCGAGUCUCGCCGAUCGAGUGGGGGCGCACGUGAAAAAUGCGGGUCCACAAAUUGGCGACUCCGCUGGGGAUUUUGAGGAUCAAGCUUGAACACUAGUUAAGGAAAAUGUGGCGUUUAAUUGGUCGAUUAGUGGAUACCUCUCUUUUUAGGCAAGGUGAUUUGAUUUGCUUGCUUGUUUGGUUUGCUAUCUUAACAUGAUUGAUUGCCUUGGAUGAUCACUUGAUUGUUUUGCUCACUCUAGCAUGAUUCACUCUCACAUAAGCUAGAUAGGACCUUGUUUGUAUGAUACAUAUCCGCUUCACAUGACUGUUUGUUGCAUGACAACCCUUUUCUCUUGCAUGAUUGUACGAUUGCUUGUCUUUGUUCACUAUCUCACUUUAGAUCUUAGGUUUUUCGGAUGCACCCACAUCCUUCAUUGUGCACUCUAGAUUAUCCCUGAGUGUUGAGAGAUGGGAGAGCCUUCACCAUUAAGAAACCCCCUGGGAACGCGAGGAAGUGCAUGUGUGGAGGUGAUGACUACCUUGCAUGGAAGCACCCCGUCUCCUUGGAGGCGUGCAGAGGGUUGCGUACCGCCGGAGGGUACGAUCGCUUCUGCUAGGGAUCCUUUAACCCACCCAUUUUACCUUAUAGAGCCACCUUAACCUUGUAGGUUAGCCUAGAUCCAAUUAAGAUUUCAUUCCUACACGUGGGUGCAUCUGUGGACUUUCAAAGCUGCCUUGGUCACAAUUGGGUUCAGUUAUCCUCUUCAUGGUCUCUUUUUGGUGUGCUCAGAGAUUGAUACAUGUUUGAGUCUCAGUUGGGCCACCUUUCUACAUUGUGAUUAGUGUGUUUCCACCUCUUCUGAGCUUCCUUCAUGUCAUUUCUCUUUCCGUGUCUUUGUACCUUAUAGGAAUGUUAUUCGCUUCAGUUUGGAUUCGACUCUUUAUAUUAGAGUUGGAGAUAGAUUGGUCAAGGUUUCAAAGCAGUCAAGUAUGGAUCCUUAGCAUGAUACAGUUGAUCGACUUACAGUCACCAUGACUCUAUUCAAGAGACAUUAGCAGGUUUGAGCCAGAGAUGGACAGUGAGAUAGAUAUCAUCCAGUUCAGGAUGAGAUGUCAUAUGAUUCAUUACCACCCACCCCUACCACCCAGUUAGCCAGUGACAUUGUUGAGGGUGACUUCGUACAUAUGAUGAGUUUAGUGGAUUAUGAGUCAAAGUUUAUCAGAUGAGAGAUCUUAUAGAGGAUGUUAGUUUUUAUCAGAUGGGAGAUUUGAUUGACAUGACUUUCUUCAUGACGAGCAUGAGAUGGACGUAUUGGAUGAUAGUUGGAUGCUUGACACAUAUUAGCCAGAGAUAGUUCACUCUCUUGAUAUGCUUGAGAUCUUCAUUAUUGAGAGUUCAUAAGAGAUUCAGUUUAUUUAUGUUGGGGCAUCCCGCUUAUGUUGAUGAUAUGUUUGAGGACGAUAUUAGCCCGGUUAUGGUCAUGGAGAUUCAUCUAUUCCAGGAGACCCUAUGGACUUACUUGGAGUACAACACUUGUCAUUAGAGAGUUGACCCUAGAGAGGAAAUAUGAUUGACAUAUCUGGAUAGAGACCAGUUCUCAAACCCCACCAAUGUGGAUUAGUUGAAGAAGUAUUACAUUUGAGACCAUGGUCGCAGGAUGGGUGGCCAUUAUUUCGGUUAGCCUUACACCUUAUCACCUUUAUUGAUAUAUUGAACCAUUGCUAGCCCAUUGAGCCUCACGUGGUAUGUUAUAGCCUUAUUUCUUUCUUAUAGCCUUGAUUACCAUUUUUUACACCUAGGUUGGGACCCUUUGAUGUAUAUGCAUGCUUUGCUAGGAAAGUCUCAUGAGCUUUAGACUUAUAGGUCUAUCUUCUCAUUUUGUUACCAUCCUCUUAUCACCCUAUUUGUUCUAUUUUAUUAUCACCACAUGUUCAUUCUCUUUCUUGACUCUAUCAUUAUUUACUUCAUUUUAUCUAUUCUCUUCCUUGGGUUGAUGAUUCUUCACGUCUUAGUGCAAAAAGGGCAGUCAUAUCACUCUAUUCAUUCCAUCAUUUGACAUUGAUUCGGAGAUCUUAGUUUGAGAGGUUGUCUCAUGGGUUGGGGUUCAUGUAUUCAUCAGUGAUUUGAGAGAGUUUAUUCAUUUCUUGUAUCUUUCCCAUUGGAGUUUGACUUAUUGAUGAUCAGAGCAUGCGCCAAAAAAAAAAAAAAAAAAAAAAAAAAAAAAAAAAAAAAAACACAAAACAGAAAACAGAAAAAAAAAAAAAAAAAGAAAAAAAAAACAAAAAAAAAAAAAGAGAAAAAAAAAAAAAAGGAAAGAAAGAAAAAGCGCAAUGAUAUGUUUGUAUAUGGCAUCUUACUCCAUUGGGCACUUAUGUCACCUUCUGAGGUUUGUUUAUUGGGUAUAUUUGUCAUUGUGGGUUCUUGUGAGAUUUUUUAUAUGAGUUUUCACUCCUUAAGCCAUUCUUGUCAUGCAUUUGGAGUCUCGAGGGUUCAUGUGAGAGUUCUAUGGUAUCCUAUGCUUCUUGGACCAUGGUUGAUAUGUAUUAAGUAUGAGAUAUGAGUGACCUUUUACUAGGGUCUCCGGAUCAUUGUCUUACCCACCAUUCCAUCAUUGGUGAUAUGACUUUUCUUUAUUGUACUAACAUGGGUUGAUCAUCACUCAUUCCACUUUCUCAUUGUUUUCUUUUGUAUCCCAUUACCUCUUUCCAGAUCUUCGUUCCACUUUUUAUCCAUUCCCUACUUAUCGAUACCCAUUACUGAUUUGAUACCUUUUUCACAUCAUUCACAUAUUUCAUUGAUGGUUUGACUACUCAUCUUUCUCUCAUUUCGCCAUCGACAUUUCCUUUGGUUACCUUUAGGUCCAUGGCUCAUGAGAUUUAUCUAUGCAUUACAUCUUAUACACGAGGGUAUGGGUUUGAUCAUUGGGUAUUUGAGCCGAGUUUCCCUUCAUUUCUUUCACCCUAUCACCCUGGCCUACGUUACGUCCCGUGUCUUAAGACCACCCUGAGACCAUGAGAUCAGAUGUUAUCUUUGACAGCCUCUACUUAGGUUGGCGUUUGGGAUUUGGUUGAUAUAUAGAUGUUGUCAUGUUUCUUCUUCUGGGAGAUGCUUCUUUGAUGCUUGGAGGUGAUUUGGUGAUGGAUGUGGAUGAUUGCUUCAUUUUAUGGAUGAUAUUUGAUGUUGUCUGGCUUCUACUGUACAUCAGAUAUCCAUACUAGGGCAUAUUCCCCUUUCAUUUGGUUGAGAUGAGCCCCUAGUGGAGCACUUUCUUUGAGUCUGGUCAUUUUCACCGAUUAGAGAUCCGUAGUGGGGUAUGUUGAGAUUAUAUCAGUUCUAGUGGAGCAUUGUUGAGCCCCUAGUGUUUCCAUUUGCGGAGUAUUUCUAAGAUAGACUAGUGGAUUAUUACUGAGUUGGAGGCAGUUUUCAGUGCAGUGUAUAGAUCUGGCAUACUGGGACAUAUUUCCCCAUUUUGAGGUUACCAGAUUCAUGUUGGAUAUAGUCAAGGAUUCAUCAGAGACGUGCUUCUACUCUCGAGAUUAUCAUAUUCCUCAUCAUUUUGGUUAUUCAUUUGAGAUCAGAUUUAGAGAGUUUUCCUUGAGGUAUUGGUCGGUACUUUAUUCUGACUUCCUAGCAGAUUAUUGUUGAGCUGAGGACAGUUGACUGAUGAUGUUGGAUUCACUCUUUGGUUGUGCAUUAGAUAUUCACACUGGGGCAUAUCCCCCCUUUUCUGAGAUUCCUAUCUGUUAUUGGACGACAUGACUAUCUUUAUUCAUGGUUAUAGAGAUGUUUGGUUGAUCUUGACAGACUCUUUAUUGUACAUCAGAUAUCCACACUGGGGCAUAUUACCCCCUCCUUGAUGAGAUUGUAUUUGGGCAGUGGUACGAGGAUGGAUGAUCAUUGUUAGGUAAUUGCCUCACGACUUCGACAUCAGAUACCCAUAUUGGGGCAUAUUCCACUCUCCUCGAUGAGAUUGUGUUUAGGCAGUGGUACGAGGAUGGAUGAUUAGUGUCGGUUGUUUACCUCAUGACUUUGAUAUCGGAUCUUAUACUGGGGCAUAUUUCCCCCAUUUUCUUUGAGUAUCCUUGAGAUUGAGACAGUGGCCAGCUUGGUUUUAGAUUGAGUACUAGCCCAGAGCUUUCGACGAUCGACUGUAUCAGAGCCUCCUUAUAUGGAUUUGUUGAGAUAGAGAUGGGUUGCAUCAGGUUUCACCCGAGGAGUGUGGGCGGAUCCUUUAGCCAGAUGUUCAUGAGACAGAUUUGUUUUCGUCAUUGUUACCUUGCAGAUUGGAUUAUCCAGAUGAGCAGCAUUUUACACACUUUGAGGUUUACUUUUAGAUGAGCCGUGAUAUACAUUCUUUGAGAUUUACCUUUUGAGAUUCAUCGACAGAGCAGCUUUUCAGACAUAGAGGGUUCCUUCAGUUUAGACUUUUCAGAGGUUUGUCACGAUGCAUCAGUUUCUGACCUAUUGAUUUCAGCGGAUGAUUGAUUUACUGGUUGUUUCGGCAGUAUGAGCACCCUGGAUACUGGGACAUAUUCCCCUUCUUGGUUUCAGUAGUCCGACCCUUGACAUUUUGAGUAUGUGGCUUUGAGCCAAUUUAUUUCAUGACCACUUUCGAGUUGGUCUUCUCUAUUAUUCCCUUCUAGGCACUGUGCCUCAUAGCUUUGAGUUAUUCAUUCCUUCUAGACCCCGAGUCUUAUAGCCUUGAGCAUUCUUCUUCCCUUAGGCCCUGAGCCCACUAGCCUUGAGCUAUCUUUCCUUUUUUUAGGCCCUGAGCCUCGUAGCCAUGAGUUAUCCAUUCCUUCUAAACCCUGAGUCUUAUAGCCCUGAGCUAUCUUUUUUCCCUUAGGCCCUGAGCCCGCUAGCCCUGAGCUAUCAUUUCCUAUAGACCCAGAGUCUUUCCAGCUCUUAGCUGAGCUUUCAUCACUUGGUCGCCCAUGAGUGGUUUGACCUGGAGUUUGCGUAUCGCAUUCUCCUUCUAGCCGAUCAGUCAUAGAGCCCGGAGCUCAUAGCCCAGAGCUAUUCAUCGACCCAGAGUCAUUUUCCAUCUUGACCCAGAGUCAUUCAUAGCACCCCGAGCCCUGAGCUCACGACCCGGAGUCAUUUGCAUCAUUCACAUCCCUGAGAUUGUUUCGUUUUCAUCAUUCUAGCCACUUGUGAGUGGCCUCGACCCGACAUCUUGAGUCGGAAAGUAUCCUGAUCGGCUAUCUAUUUAGAGCCCGGAGCUCUCGACCCAGAGUCACUUUCCAUUUCGACCCAGAGUCAUUAUUUCCUAUUUUAGAGCCCGGAGCUCUCGACCCAGAGUCACUUUCCAUUACGACCCAGAGUCAUUCUUUCCUAUUUAAAGCCCAAAGCUCUCGACCCAGAGUCAUAUUCCAUUUUGACCCAGAGUCAUUUCCUUUCCCAUUUAGAGCCUAGGGCUCUCGACCUAGAGUCGUUUUCCAUCUUGACCCAGAGUCAUUCUUUCCUAUUAGAGCCCUGAGCUCAUGACCCAGAGUCUUUUAUCCUAUUUUGGAUCUAGAGUCGUUCACCUUGUCCAUGAUCCAGAGUCAUUCAUGUCAUCCAUGACUUUGAAUCAUCCCUUCCACCUCUUUCCAUUUUUGUGUUACUCGUCACAUACUGUUCUCUCUUUUGUCAUUCCCCCGCAUAGAGUUGUCCCGUCCAUAUCGUUGAGACCCCAUCUUUUGACCUUACCUCUUCAUGCGCUAGGACAAAAUCUCUGGUCCUUCUUUAAUUCUUCAGUAUAGUUCACUUCAUUUCGCUCAUUGCUCGUGCUUCUACUUGCAUUCUCUACACUCGUGAUCUAUACCGAAGAGGGGCAUAUUUGUAGACCCUCAAUUUUGCCCUUUUAGCACAUGUCUUUAAAUCCACUUCUAGUGCUCCACGGUAGUUCCUUGGUGGCCCAUUACUACUCGUACGACUUACCUUUUUCUGAGUCACCUUGGAGACUUUGGUUAAGGGAUUAUUUGAUCCCUUAUCGUGACCCUUGGCAGCCCUAAUUUAGACUUAGGCUUUUCUUAUUUUUUUAGGAUAGCCUUUAGAUACACUUGGCCCAUUAGGCACCAUCCUAGGCCCGCUUAGUCUCAUCAUAGGCCCGUUUAGGCACACUUGACCCAUUUGGACAUUUUUAGCGUGACUUAUUUGACUUGCGUGUUUGCAUGGUUUGUAGGGCCCAUUUUUUUUUGUUAAUUUGUUUAAUUUUAUUUUAUUUUAUUUCGUUUUCCUCUUUAUAUUAUUUUCCUCAACUUAUUUAUUUAUUUAUUAUUUUUACCAUUUUCUAAUUUAUUUACUUAUUUAUCUAUUCAUGCAAUUAUUUAACUUCUAAAAUUUCAUGUUUUUGCAAGGAAACUUACCAUUGGAGUUUAAGGAAAGUGGGACUCUCCUUGGAAGGUUUUGGAGGAGAAUUUGAAGUUGGGAAGAUUGCUUUUGAAUUGGAAGAUUUAAAAAAGGAUAAGGAGAAAAGAAGAGAGAAAAUAGGAGAUUUGGCCUUUUUUUUAGGGAGAUUUAGUUUUAGGGAAAGGCGUAUAUAUACGUGAGAGAGGAAGGAGAAAAGGGAGCUUUUUUUUUUAUUAAGGAGAGGAGAUUCUUUCUGGAGCAGACGCAUUGGAGGCAUUGGAGAAGGAGGGAGGAAAAGCACGCAGCAACGAGCAAGGAGCAAUUGCAACCAAAGCUGUCCAGGGCCACAAUUUGCUUUGUUGAGAUUGGUUACUUGCCUGUUUGCCUUGUUUUGAUUUUGGAUGUCAUUAAUGUCUUCGGAAGCAUAUAACUCCAUGCCUGUUCCCACUAACCUGAGCCUAUUGAAAAAUCAUGAGAUGUGGUUUUAUUUUCUUUUAAUCUCCCAUGUCUGUUUUCCCAUCGUUUCCUCUACUCUCUACCAUAUCUGUUUUGCCUUUCUUCCUACCCGUCACGUAGUCAUCAAUUCUUCAUAUGGGGGUGACUCCAAAGCUUGGGUAUGCAAUCACAAGAAUUCAACAAAGGGAUCAGCUCUUUCAAAAUUCUGGCUAGACAUGCCAUAUUGUGAGUUCAUAUAAAAGAAAGCCCGUGAUAGUUGCCGUUCUUUUCCUGUUAAUGUUCUGUUCUAGCCCUUGUUGUAAAAACUGCCGUCACAAUUCGGGACCCAGAAGAGAUUCUUCCACGUAGUCAUGUCCAAGUGGCUUGAUGGUCGUUUAUGCACUUGUUAAGGUUAGUGGCAGCCAUGUAAAUUUGUGGAUUCAUAUGGAGAUCAGAGAUAUGGCUUCUCGGAAUUCCACCAGUUCAGGGUAUAUACAUUGAGGGCAAAUUGAGGAGCACGAGAGUUAUUUGAAGAAAUACCAAUGAGAAGAAAUUUGGUUUUCUAGAUUGCAAUGAUAAAUGUGGGUGAGAGGGAUAGAGAAAAGAAAAUACUUCUGCGGUUUUAGAGAAAAAGAGAGAAAUACAGAGAGAUCGUUGAGUGCAGUGACGGCUGACCCGCAUAAACCUUCGUGAUCACUAGAAGAAGAAGAGUAGCAAUUUCGUAAUAAAGCUCCAGUUCUUCUUUCUUUUCAGGUCCCUGCAUCGGUUUAACAAGUCAGUGAAAGUUCAUUCUCCUGUUCUGGACUCCCUUGUUGAGGACUGGGAUUCUCUGUAUAGAAUAUAGUUUGCCACAAGCAAAGUUCUGCUUUGACCUUAGACCGGUUGCACUUGUGCUGAAAUGCGUGUUGGUAUGACGCACAUGGCUUCUUAUUUCAGGUAUUUUGUCCAAGUGAAGUUGGACUACACGGAGAGGAAUCUCGGAAGGGAAAAGGGAGUAACAGAAAAACUAUGAACAAGUUCGAUACAACAUUAUGGAAGCGUUGGCAGGGGAAACCUGGAAUGUCAUAUAUCUUGUCAUUAAUGUCUGUUGUAUUGAGUCAUCCUGAUGGAAUCUAUGGACCAAAUGACACCAGGAGGAUUGUUAUUAGUAAGAUUAUUGAUAAGUUUUGCUCGUUUGAUUGUUGAAGAAAAGUUGGAAGAUAUUUAUAGAGAACUGAACAGUAAAGAAGGGAAGCGCCAGAAGGCUGUUCUCCUGCUGAUGGCUUCAAUAGUUAGACGUAGCUCAAGUCUGACUUCUGAGGUUGCAAAGAGUUUUAAUUUCGAAUUCCCAAUCUUUCCAAAGUCUGCGGGGUAUAAAUUGAAGCAAGCUGAAAAGAAAAGGAAGCAUUCGACAAGAAAAUCAUUUAUUGGGUUUGCAAUGUCAUUUUUGGAAGUGGGUAAACCAGGAUUAUUGAGGCGGAUCCUACAGCAGAAAGAAAUGCAUUCAGGCGUUCUUCAUGGGCCCGGAAAUGAUGAUGACGAAAUAGUUGUUUAUGUUCUGUUUACAUUGAAGGACAGAGUUCUUAUUCCAGAAUCAUUGGCGCCUCCAGGUCUUUAGAGUAUGCUAUUUGGGAGUGUCACUCCAGAACAGUUGGUCAGUACUUCUGGAAAGGAAGAAGGUAGCCCUGCUCCAGAGUCGGCACACAGGGUUCUGGUUAUACUUUGUACCAAUCUUUGUAACGGACUGAUGCCAGAUUUGAAGAGACACCCAUGUCCAUUCAGGAGUGAUCCAAAGCGAUUUUUGAGUCUCAUGAAGGAGCUUAAAGUAACAGAGGUUGCCUAUCACAGAGAUAUACUUUUAUCUUUUGUUAAAGGGAGACCUCCUUUUGUUCAGCAUACAUAGAUGAGUUUCCUUGCAACCUUGAAGACCGUACGUCACCUACCUGGUUUACUGCUGUUCCUCUGGUUGCAGAUUUGGUUUCCUUAGUUGGUAUUGGCCUGCCCUUCAAUUUCAUCAAUUCCGAGUCUCAAGAUCUGCCAUCCUUUGAUAGCUCAGAUGUGCAGAGUAUUAUGGAAUGUAUUUGUUGUUAUCCAUCUAGCCGAUUGGUUGUCAAUAAGGGGUUUACUUCACCCUAAUGUUUUUGUGAAGCAUGGAACUUUAAGGCUUCUCUUGGAGGAACUGAAGUUUUUGGACUCCUUCAUAAGCGCUAUUAAUCAUACUUCUUGUUCCAGCAAUCAAAUGAUGCAUAGACUGGCACCUUUGAAGCAAGAAAUUGAGAAUGGGGUUCGAAUGUUGCUCCCUGCUCCUCAAGUUCUAUUGACACUACCUUCUUCACUAAGUAGUCAAUCCACAAUUCAAGAGUUGGGUUUGAAAAGGAAAAGAAGUUUCGAAAAUUUUACUGUGCAUAGAAGAAAUGAUAGAAAGAAGUUGAAAACGGAUGUUUUGAAUGAAGACACAGAUACGAUUGUCAGUGGGAUAAGUUCUGGUCUAGAUAUUGCUUUUCAUGGAGGCGACAAGGCUCUUGAUACAUUUACUGCAGAUGACAUGGACAGUGGGAAGGAUAAUGUAAAGAUUAUUGCAAAAACCUGGGGUUUGCAACCAUCCUCCAUGGCUGGUAUUGCAUUAAGGGAUGUGGAGACAUGCUUCCUUUCUAAGUUGCUUGAUGCUCUCAAAAUCUAUGUUCGAAUUAUGCCUACUGUAUUGGAGGGAUCAUUGGAUUUCUUCAUAAAUCUCCUUGGUAACAGUUCAGCAUUAUCAACUGAUGUGCAGCAGUUCUCAAAGAGCAUGAAAAACAAAUCCAACAUGCUGUCCACAAGGCUCGUCUUGACAAAAGUGAAGACUAAGAUAACAUGCAAUGAUGACGGGCAAACUGAAUCGUUACUUCCCCAUGGGAGAAACAGCAGGUAACCCUUGAGUGGUGAUUAUCGAGCUUCUUGAUACGUUGGUUAGUUGCUUGGUUGCUGGAAAGGGUGAGCUGAAGGGAGUCAAUUGCUGGAAAAUAUGUUUUGUACAGCUGAAAAACUGGUUUCCUCAUUCAAUUCUGAAGGACAAGGAGCAAGUGAAUUGCUUGAAGGGUUCAAACAAGAUGCCCAUUGUUUAGAGAAGUCAUCAGAAUCGAUUUUCUCAAGAUCUCUAGAAGCUGUUAAAGAAAACAAAAACCUGUACCAUAUUCUGAGUCGAAGGUAACAACAAGCAACAUUAAGGUUGGAUCAGUGGAAACUGCACAGGAGGUGAAUGUUUCUGUCAGUUAUUGCAUAGAAAUUGUUAGGACAGUAUUUUUGAGAUUCUUAUGGGGAGCAACAAAACUAAAGACUGCUGAGGAACAGUGAGUUCAGUGGAGACAUCAAAUCGAUCUCAUACUAUCGAAUAUCAGCUUCCUGGUAAGGAUAACAUAUUGGUCUGUCAACGCGUAGAAGGAAUCUGGAAUUUGGCAUCAGAAAUGAAGCAGCACGCUUGGAUAAACCCGACACCGGCAGUGGCUACAUGCAGAAAUUCAGGCUUUAUGAGACUUGCUCGAACUUCUGUAUAAUAGAAAGAGACAUGGUUUGAUCGGGGACCAAGAGAUACCUGGUUUUCGAAAUGGCUUGGUUCAGAUUCUGCAGCUGUCAGUAGAGACAUUCUGACCAGAAUUAUGUAUUCCAAACAUUUGGGCACGCGGAUAUGGCCUUCGGAAAAUGAGAAGCACAGUUUUAAAUGGAAUGAGACUGUUUUGGGAAAAGGAAAACCUUUGAGCAAUCAGACCUGAAACGUUCAGUGAGGGUUGGGAAGACAAGUUUUAAAGAAAUGGCAGCUUACCUUCUUGACUAUGAUCCUUUUGUCAAUAAGCCAUCCAUUGGUCCUGUAAAGGUUGCACACUUAAUUUUCAAUGUCGAUGAUAGGGUGAAUGGAAAUAUGAAUCAAAAUGGGAAGCUGUCAUAAUUGAUGAAUGUCAACGCCCCAGAAUUUCAUCACAUUUUGCAGAAUAUAGGAUACUUGUGGCUGAUUUAAGGCUUCUUCUUCAUGAUGGUUAGAUAAAGGAAAGCACGUUGGAGUUUAUGAAUCUCCUACCAUUUCUUGACCCUGGCAAUAACGUGAACAGCGACAAUGUUUCGAAAAUUGACUACAAAGAUCGUGUUAGUAAAUUAGAGGAGAGGCAUUAUCAUCCGAAGAAACUGUCAAUGAGCGCAUGGAUAAAAUCAGUGCAAAGGUUAGAUUCAAACCAGAAUCAAUAGAGCUUCUUUCAGUUGAAGAAGACGGUGGAUUAAAUGAUGAAUAUUCAUACUCAGCAGUUGGAUUUGAUGGCUCAUUGAAUAUGCCAGAAAGUUUAUGUGCUGGACAGCGGCCUCCUUCAUGCUCAUAUCAGGCUCCCAUUUCAGCAAUUCAAUGUCCAGAGCCAACUCCACUUUGAUGCCCAAUUUUUCAAACUCGCACAAUGCAUAACAGGCUAUGCCAGAAUUAGGAAGAGUGUCUUUGAUGCUUUAGACAAUAAUCCAUCAGAAUGGGCAAAGAAGAUAUUGAAGCACUCUUGGGUUUUCUUGAUGAACGUGAAACUCAGAAUUGCAAAGUGCUGGUUCAGAAUCUGAAUCUAGUUGAUCAUGGAGGUUCUAAGUACAAGAAUAGUCAGUACAACGGUUUGUUUCCUUAAGACAAACAAGGGUACUAAUUUCAACCUUCGGAAGCAUUUGGAAAGAACGAGAAUUAUCAAGAAAUGGCAUAGGAGGAGGACGUGACUAAGUUCUCUGGGACACUUAGAGAUGUAAUUCAGAAUUUCAAUCUUGCUGCAAUUUAUGAUGCCAAAGUCUCCAACCGUUCCGCCAGCUUACAGAAAACUCCAAUACCUGAUCUGAACGUUGAUGAAACACAUAUUGCUUUUGUGAAGCUCUCAAGAGAAAAUUCAGUAUGAAAUACUUCAAAUGUCAAGCUCGAAGACGGUCAAGUGCGUUGACGCAGUGGAAAAUGCAGAUAUGAUGGGCAACAGAAUAUGUAAUACUCGGGAUAAACAGAGCAAUACAGUUGUAGAUAAAAUGUUUCAGGAGAUUUGUGAAAGUUGAGAAAAGACAUCUGAGUUCAUAGAAGAAGUCAAGUGUUUGGAGUGCUUUGCUCAAAAGCUGGUAUCUGAAAAUUUGUCUCUUCAAACUGGGUUGUUGAGGAAGAAUAAUGUUUUGAAAGGAUUGUUCUUUGAUCCGAGCCUACUACAGGAGUCUGCAUCUAAUAGUAAAGAUGGGAGAGAUGAAAUUGAAGAAUUGGCAGCCUCUUUGGAAUCCUUAGAACAAGAACUUGCAGUAAGAUCGGUGGUACAAAAGCCUAUGUAUCUCAGUCCCCAUGUAUACUAACAGGAAAUGUCAAAGAGAGCAUCCUCUUUGGGAACCGACAUGACAGUUUUAAGUAUGAUGAUAACUAAGGAUUUUGAGUUUUUCCCCUGCGGUGACCUCACGGAAAUAGGUAAAAGAGGAAUAAAUAUGAAUGGAGGCCAGAAGCAAAGGUUUCAAAUAGCCCGAACAGUUUGCGAGGACACUGACAUAUAUUUUGCUUGGUGACCCAUUCAGUAACUGCUUCAAUUUGAGCCCAUGGAUCCAACAGAGACACGGAUGGGGAAAGCUAAUUACACCAGGGUUCUUACUUCUCAAGAGCUACCCAAGUUUGUUGGAACUCUUCAAUCCUUACCAGAUAUCACCAAAGCUUUGAACAGCAGGGAGUCCCGGAAAGUGCCGAAAGAAAGAAGAAUGUAUACAAGGAUUCAACACCAGCAGAGGAGUCAGUCACGUCUCCAGGCUUCACCUAUACAGAUGCCACCUUGGUGCCCACCAUCCCCACCGGAUUCUCUGAUGGCCUUGUGCCUACAUUCUGGAGGAUUUUUAGAAGCACUCUUAUCCAAGGUGAUUCAAUCGUGUCGACUCAGAGUCAGGCUCAAGAAGUUGUGAAUGAAAAAGUUUAGGAUUCGGUCCAGAUUUCUUCUUUUUUCGAAGGGUGGUUUGUCAUUGUAGUUGAAAUGAAAAACAUCAAGAGCGCAAAAAGAGGGUUCAAAAUCAUUCAAAUCGGGGUUUAAGCGGACUGAAUUGACAUUUGGCUUGAAUAUUAAAGAAAGAUAAAUGAAUCUCCA